rnacentral:rRNA from 1 species
GACGAACGCUGGCGGCGUGCUUAACACAUGCAAGUCGAACGGAAAGGCCCUGCUUUUGUGGGGUGCUCGAGUGGCGAACGGGUGAGUAACACGUGAGUAACCUGCCCUUGACUUUGGGAUAACUUCAGGAAACUGGGGCUAAUACCGGAUAGGAGCUCCUGCUGCAUGGUGGGGGUUGGAAAGUUUCGGCGGUUGGGGAUGGACUCGCGGCUUAUUAGCUUGUUGGUGGGGUAGUGGCUUACCAAGGGUUUGACGGGUAGCCGGCCUGAGAGGGUGACCGGCGACAAUGGGACUGAGAUGCGGACCAGACUCCUACGGGAGGCAGCAGUGGGGAAUAUUGCACAAUGGGCGGAAGCCUGAUGCAGCAACGCCGCGUGCGGGAUGACGGCCUUCGGGUUGUAAACCGCUUUCGCCUGUGACGAAGCGUGAGUGACGGUAAUGGGUAAAGAAGCACCGGCUAACUACGUG